rnacentral:lncRNA from 1 species
CCUUGAGAAGCUUACAGUAUAGUGGGGAAGCAAGAGCAUCAAGGAAAUGAAUGUGAGUGUAUGCCAGAGAAAGGCAAGGUCAACCUCCUUCUGCAUGCCUUUCCUUCCAUGUAAGACCAUGAGCUCAUUCAGGACAAAGGGCUGAAUCAUCACUUCUGUAGCCCAGGGAUCCGGUGAGUGGCUGGUACACAGGUCUCUGGCUCACAAAGAGUGUACACCUGAGGAGUUGUAGCCAAGGGUUUUCAUCCUCAACUCACCUGAUGCAGAGCAUGAGAUCUAAGACUGUGAACCUGAUGCAAUAUUGGGAUGAGACCCAUGGAGAUCCUGGAAUGGGAAUGAGAAUAUUUUCUAUAUGGAAAAAAUGUGAAUAAGUUUCAGCCAGACAGCAGUCUGUGGUAGAUUGCAAAAAAAAAAAAAAAAAGAAAAAAGGCCAUGAUUCCUCCUAUGUCUGUAUAUACACUCCUUUGGGAUGUGAAUUUCUUGCUCCUUCUAUCAAGAGGUAGACUGAGCUGGAUUUGUGAAUGGCUUUAAUCUACAGUAUACAGCAGAAGUAAUUUCCAUGAUUUUUUGGCAUAGGUUCUGCAGCUUCCAUUCUUGCCCACUUGGAAUGCUGCCCCAAGGCUGCCAGGGUAAAGAAGCCCAAACGAGCCUCUUUGAAGAUGAGCCAUGUGGAGACAGAAAUGCAGCCAAGAGCUGGCAGCAUCCCCCAGCUAUGUGAAUGACAGAGACCAUUUUGGACUGUCCAGCUCAUUGAGCAAAGGGACAACUGCAGCCACAUGUUGACUCCAGGUGAAAGCAGUGGAAGAACUUCCCAGCUGAAUCUAGCACAAAUUGCUAAAACAAAAGAAUAAUAAGCAAAUAAAAUGUUUAAGUCAGUAAAUUUUGUAGUAGAUUGUUAUGUAGCAAUAGAUAACCAACAUACCAGUCUUUUCUGAUGUUUAAAGUUGUGUUAUUCCAUAAUAUAAUAAGGGAAGGUUAAUGCCUUAAAAAUAAAUAUUUCAGGAAACUUUCUUAAUUAGACUUUUAAAUAGGUAUUUCUUUUUUAACAAGGAGAAGCAAAGGUGAUACAGUUAACUGUCACUUAUAUUAUGUCCUCAAAUUAAUG